GACGAACGCUGGCGGCGUGCCUAAUACAUGCAAGUCGAACGCUUCUUUCCUCCCGAGUGCUUGCACUCAAUUGGAAAGAGGAGUGGCGGACGGGUGAGUAACACGUGGGUAACCUACCCAUCAGAGGGGGAUAACACUUGGAAACAGGUGCUAAUACCGCAUAACAGUUUAUGCCGCAUGGCAUAAGAGUGAAAGGCGCUUUCGGGUGUCGCUGAUGGAUGGAUCCGCGGUGCAUUAGCUAGUUGGUGAGGUAACGGCUCACCAAGGCCACGAUGCAUAGCCGACCUGAGAGGGUGAUCGGCCACACUGGGACUGAGACACGGCCCAGACUCCUACGGGAGGCAGCAGUAGGGAAUCUUCGGCAAUGGACGAAAGUCUGACCGAGCAACGCCGCGUGAGUGAAGAAGGUUUUCGGAUCGUAAAACUCUGUUGUUAGAGAAGAACAAGGACGUUAGUAACUGAACGUCCCCUGACGGUAUCUAACCAGAAAGCCACGGCUAACUACGUG
rnacentral:rRNA from 1 species